rnacentral:lncRNA from 1 species
CGAGCUUCCUUGGGACCUCACUAAGCUCGCUGUGAUCUUUUUUUAGCCUAAAUCGUAACCAUUUAAAAGAUCAUGAACAGUACAUAAACACGGGACUUUAAAAACUAGGGUUUUCCGAAGCAAAACUUACCUGAAAUGGAUACCAUCGUGAUCGUGAAGUCUUCAUGGUUCCAAUGGUGGUCUUAGAUUCGUCGUUGGUAUAGAUUUAAGGUGGUUUUGUGGCGGUCCGUGUGAGUUCGAAGGAGAGGGAGAGAGAACUGAGAGAUUCGUGAGGGAGGAGAGAGAGAGAGACAAGGUACGGGAAUUGGGGAAGGUUUUGAGG